rnacentral:rRNA from 1 species
GACGAACGCUGGCGGCGUGUCUAAUACAUGCAAGUCGAGCGAAGUUUUUCUGGUGCUUGCACUAGAAAAACUUAGCGGCGAACGGGUGAGUAACACGUAAAGAACCUGCCUCAUAGACUGGGACAACUAUUGGAAACGAUAGCUAAUACCGGAUAACAGUAUUUCUCGCAUGAGAGAUAUUUAAAAGUUGGUUAUGCUAACACUAUGAGAUGGCUUUGCGGUGCAUUAGCUAGUUGGUGGGGUAAAGGCCCACCAAGGCGACGAUGCAUAGCCGACCUGAGAGGGUGAUCGGCCACACUGGGACUGAGACACGGCCCAGACUCCUACGGGAGGCAGCAGUAGGGAAUCUUCCGCAAUGGGCGAAAGCCUGACGGAGCAACGCCGCGUGAGUGAAGAAGGAUUUCGGUUCGUAAAGCUCUGUUGUUAGGGAAGAAUGGAUAUGUAGUAACUAUACAUAUAAGAGACGG